rnacentral:rRNA from 1 species
AUUGAACGCUGGCGGCAGGCCUAACACAUGCAAGUCGAGCGGAUGAAGGGAGCUUGCUCCUGGAUUCAGCGGCGGACGGGUGAGUAAUGCCUAGGAAUCUGCCUGGUAGUGGGGGAUAACGUCCGGAAACGGGCGCUAAUACCGCAUACGUCCUGAGGGAGAAAGUGGGGGAUCUUCGGACCUCACGCUAUCAGAUGAGCCUAGGUCGGAUUAGCUAGUUGGUGGGGUAAAGGCCUACCAAGGCGACGAUCCGUAACUGGUCUGAGAGGAUGAUCAGUCAAACUGGAACUGAGACACGGUCCAGACUCCUACGGGAGGCAGCAGUGGGGAAUAUUGGACAAUGGGCGGAAGCCUGAUCCAGCCAUGCCGCGUGUGUGAAGAAGGGCUUCGGAUUGGAAAGCACUUUAAGUUGGGAGGAAGGGCAGUAAGUUAAUACCUUGCUGUUUUGACGUUACCAACAGAAUAAGCACCGGCUAACUUCGUG